rnacentral:tRNA from 1 species
GCCUGGAUGGCUCAGUUGGUAAGCAUCAGAUUCUUGAUCUCAGGUUGUGAGUUCAAGCCCUCUAUGGGCU